UAUUGAAGUUAGAAACGUGUCGUAUGUAACUUUAGAGACAGUCCCUUAAUUUCCGCAUAUCUGCGAUAUCGAACGUCCAAUUUCAAACCAACUUUAUUCCAGUCAGUAGUAGUAACAUCAUAGAACUGGUAAGAACAUCAUUAUCAUUGCAGUGGAAAUCUCAGAUGGAAAACUUCAUUUUGUAUGAAGAAAUUGGAAGAGGAAGCAGGUCGGUGGUUUAUAAGGGCAGGAGGAAAGGGAGCAUACAUUUUGUGGCAAUUAUCUGUAGUAAGAAGUCGAAGAGGCCUGAGCUGACAAACCACGUACGACUUACGUAUGACAUGAAGCACAAUAAUGUGGUCUCUUUCUAUGAGUGGUAUGAGACUAGUAAUCAUCUCUGGCUGGUGGUGGAGUUAUGCACAGGAGGAUCACUAAAGGCCGUUAUUUCCCAAGAUGAAUGCUUGUCUGAUGAUGUUGUGCGAGAAUUUGCUAUGGACUUACUUAAAGGUCUCAAGUACAUCCACGACUCUGGCAUAGUGUUGUCUGACUUCAGCCCUACUAAGAUUUUACUGGAUGGUCCAGGUACUCUGAAGUACUCGAAUUUCUGUCUGGCCAAAGCACAAGGAGAGAACCUAGAGUUUUUUGCCCUUGUGAUGUCAGAACAGGGAGGAGACAACAAAGAGAGUGCUAUGCCUCAAAAAAAUAUCAAGAACCGAACCCAAGGCUCUCUGCUGUACUGCGCUCCAGAGGUGCUGAGAGGAGAGAGCACGAGCAUCUCCAGUGAUCUGUGGGGACUGGGCUGCGUCCUCUAUGAGAUGUUUACAGGAAAGCCACCGUUCUACUCAGAGACAUUCAGUGAUUUGGUUGAGCUCAUUUUACAUGAAGAUCCUCCACCUCUGCUGCAAAAAGGUCCCAGCUGUCUACAAUGUAGUCCUGAUUUCCAGAGCCUCGUAUUGGGUCUGCUGCAGAAAGAUCCUUUGAACAGGCUAAACUGGGAACAGUUGUUGCUGCACCCGUUUUGGAAGGGAGCAUUUUCAGUGGAUUUUUCCUCAAGGGGCAAUGCAGAUGAAAAUACCUCACUUCGCUGCAGUACACAAUUGGAGUCAGGUCUUUCUGAAACAGCAGCCGAGGCCCAGACAUUUUCCACUGGUUACAGUAAUCUAUACCUCUGCAAGUCCUUCACAUUAGACAAUGUGACUGAGUUUAGACCUAAAUCUGCAUUGGACACAGAUGCCAAAGAGUCCAUUUUCCUUCUCAGUUCACGUCCAACUCCAAGAAUGAGCAGCACUGCCAAAGAGAUCGAGAACAGAGAAAUCAAGACCCAAGAUAGCAGUGCAUUGGAAGAUUUGCAGACUGAUGCAGGUGCCUGCAUUAAAGAGCUCUUGUACACAGAAUCAGAUCUGACUGUGACGCCUAUUAUGGACAACCCAAAGAUUCUGAAAAAUGCUCCUGUGCGAUUUGACUCCAAAAUACUGUGUGUUUCAGCAUAUUCAGUUGAGCGUUUGGCAUGUAUGAGCUCAGGUGAAUGGUCUGCAUUCCUGCAGCAGGUAUGUGCUGUUCUGGAGUCGGUGGAAAGGGCUGGAUCUGGAGCUACAACACCACCACGUGCAAAACUCAACCUACUCUGCUAUCUGUGCUGCGUUUGUGGCCACAGAGACACAGCCACUCGCUUUAUACAUUCCCAGCUGUUUCCGGUGUUGAUCCAGCAGCUGCGGCAGGCCCCUAACUGGGAUAUUAAGACCAAAGUGAUGAGAAUCAUCGGUCUGUUGGCAUGCCAUAGCACAGAGCUCAGAGAGGAUGUUCCUGUCAUAGAAGCAGUGGCUAUAUUCACCGAGCUUAUGCGUGAGAACUUCAGGAACAGCAAGCUGAAGCAGUGCCUUCUGCCACCACUAGGAGAGCUCCUGUACCUCAUUGGUACUCAGGAGGAAAAGAAAGAGCACCCAGGAGGAUUGUGGGUCGUUCCUGCUGCCGCCUACACUGUGUUAAUGAGGUGCCUUCGGGAAGGGGAGGAACUGGUCGUGAACCACAUGGCAGCAAAAAUCAUUGAGAAUGUAUGUAGCAGACCGUCUCGGUGUGCUCAGGGCUUUAUCGUAGCUGAAGUGGGACCUGCCCUCUGGUAUCUGUUCACUCACUCGACUCUGGACGCACUGCGGAUCAGUGCUAUGUCAAGUGUUACUGUUUCCCCCACACUCAAGGCUCUGUGUAGAAUAACCCGUCAAUCAACGGCAGCAUUCCAGAGUGUUAUUGACAAGGUUGGAUUACCCAGCAUCCUCAGCUGCUUGUCAGGAAUCAGCCGUGUGCAGCAGCACAUACUCACCAUGUUCGCCGCCAUGUUGGCAUCCGGAGCACACCUUCACAGACUAAUACAGGACAGAGACUUUGUUGUGAAGAUAAUCCGUUCUCUGGAGAGUCCGUCUUCACUCAUCCGAGCCAAGGCCUUCCUGGUGCUCCUGCAAGUUCUCAUGAAUAACCGGGAGAUGCUACUGCUGUGCUGCAACUCAAGGUUAGUGAUGUACAUUGAGAGAGACACCCGAAAGGCCACACCAGGGAAGGAGCAACAAAGUGGCAAUGAAUACCUGUCAAAAUGCCUGGCCCUAUUCAUCCGUCACACAGUGCAAGAGCUGCCAGCUAUCCUGGAUGACAUCCUGACAGCAUUAGGAAGCAUUGUGGGAAGGAAGCACCCCUCUACUACCCAGACUCGUCAGCUCAAACAAAGCCUUCCCAUGACUGUUGUCGUGCUGAACCUACUUUCCUCACAGAUCUUCAGGCCUCAGGUGGUGAAUGAGGAGUUUCUCAUCAAAUUUGGAGCACUCCUGAAUCACAUAACAUCCAUCGACUCCAAUGAGACCAGUUUGGGAAGUUCCGUGGGGCCGACAGCAUCUGAGGAGUUGAUAAGAAAUACCCUGUCAGCAGUGGAGGCCAUUUCCCAGCACCCAGCCCUUCUAAGCCAUUACCACUGCACUGUUGUGGACUCAAUCCUACCGCCGUUGGCGUCUUUGGCAUUUAGUAGGAAUGUGGAGUGGCGCAUUGUGAGUUUACGGGUGCUGUCAGAUAUCACUCUGCUGUUGCUGAGCCAGGAGGUGAUAGAGGAAGAGGAAACGUGGGAUCUAGAGGGCAAAUCCUCAAACACACGCCUGUUAACUCUCAUUACUGAGGCCCUGCUGCCACAGUACAAAUCUUUGCUUCUGGAGCCAGGCCCAAUACCGGUCUAUGCACUCAAACUGCUGGGUUCUCUGACUGAGCACAGCAAGCCCAUCAGCAGGCUUGUCAGAGAGAGUCCUCUACUGCCUGCCAUCUUUGAAGUCAUAGCGGCGCAUCAGAGUAACAUCCUUGGUGGCACCAUGCAGAAUGCUAUAGCCAUCCUCGCUAAUCUGAUCGGACUGAAGGACACAGACUUUCAACUUUUCUACCAGCAAGGUGUAAUAGAGCUGGUGUGUGGUGUGUUCAUGGAGUACGCAGCAUUGUAUCUGGAGAAAGAAGAGAGAUGCAGAGUGAAGAGCUGUUGUGCUCUACUGCUGUCCCUGCUGGACAUCAUCUACUGCCUGCUCAAACACCUCUCUGCUGUGGUCCGACUGGCUGUACAGUCUAACAGUAAAGAAGACAAUGAAGCAGCAGAAAAGCUCCUACUCAUCAACAAGCCACUCACUGAUCUCAUCAACCUUCUUAUUCAAAUGCUGCCAUGUGGUGAUGCAGAGGUGUAUGAGGAUGCCAGUCAGUGUGUAUCACUACUAACUCAGCUGUAUGGCAGGGAUGCGGCUGAUCAUCUGACCCCUAAAGACCUGCUCAGCCUCACACGCACAUUUCAACUACACACUGAGCCUAGACAGCAGAGACUGCUGCUCCAUGUCCUCAAACGUCUGGGUCAUGGGGAAACCUGGAGCCUAUCCCAGGGAGCAUCGGGCACAAGGCGGGCUCCUGCUCAGGCUCCAAGACUACAGCAGAGCAAUCAGCUUGUCAAAACUCUGAGACCUGCACACGGGGUCCCUCUUACCUUGCUACUGGACAUGCUAGGAGAUUUUAGGUUGAAUUUCUCCAGUCAGUUCAAUGUCAGAGUUUUUUUUUCUUUUUCCUCUGUCUUACUUCUAAGAAUGUCAUUAUACUGAACAUUAUAAGAAACAAUAUGUAUUUAUAUAUUUGAUAUGCCAGUCGCCAUUCUUAAUGUACUGUAGAUAUCUCAGUUAGUUAAUGAGGAUAGAUCUGUAAAUAAUCAAUAAACCUUGUUUGCUGAUGUGUGACAAGUGCUAAUAAGAGACGUGGAGAUGCAGUCACUGUUUGGGGAGUGAGUGAAAGUGAUCGAAGGCGAGAGAGACAUAUACCCUUAUAGCACAUGCACACACAUACACUGCUCCCAGGACAGGGGGCGAGUGGCUGUCUGUAUUGAGUGCAUGAAUUAUGCAGAGGUAGGAGGAGGACAGCGGUUCUAUCAGACACUCUCUCUCUCUCUCUCUCUCUCUCUCUCUCUCUCUCACACACACACACACACAGACACACUCGAUGUGCUCGCACUCCUGGGAUUGAGAGCUGUGCUCAUUAGCUCGGUUCUGGCCACCCCUACAGCUUGCACCCCAUCACAGCAUGACAGCAGCAAUGGUCCUCCUCUCUCUCUCCGGCUGCUGCUUGAAAGAAUAUUGACCCACGUACGGUACUAUGGGCCAGCAGAUUUUAAAUAUGGUGCAUGGUCUGUAGUGGAAGAUGUUCUGGAAACACUGCAAAACACUGGAAAAAAGAAACAAGCCUGCAGGAAAAGAAAUGGGUGCAGUAGACCGCGCAGGUUGGAGUACAGAAGGAGGUCAGAGCCUGGUGCAUGUGCUCCAAAAUCUGGCCCAUGGUAACAG